CGGACAGUUCCGAAGUUGAUGCUUUUUUGGCUUCGGGAUGGCACAAGCGUUGGGUGAAUGACGAUCUUUAGCGUCCGGACAGUCCGACGAAAAUUAGCCGGACGACCGGGGUAUUGCCUGGUUUGGUUUUUUUUGCUCUUGGGCGUCGCAGUCAGUUCGUCUUUGUGGUGGUAGUUGUUCUGUCUUCGCCUUGCGCUUCUAUCUCCGCUUUCAAGCUCUCCUCACGGAUGGAUUAUGUGUACUCUUGUGCUUGCAUUCCUCCUCGAGACUUGUGGAUGUAGGAUAAAGUAGUGUAUCAUCCUGUGAGGGG
rnacentral:lncRNA from 1 species